UACAGGGGGGGCAAGCGUUGUUCGGAAUUACUGGGCGUAAAGGGCUCGUAGGCGGCCAACUAAGUCACACGUGAAAUCCCCAGGCUUAACCUGGGAACUGCGUGUGAUACUGGAUGGCUUGAAUCCGGGAGAGGGAUGCGGAAUUCCAGGUGUAGCGGUGAAAUGCGUAGAUAUCUGGAGGAACACCGGUGGCGAAGGCGGCAUCCUGGACCGGUAUUGACGCUGAUGAGCGAAAGCCAGGGGGAGCAAAACGGGG
rnacentral:rRNA from 1 species